rnacentral:rRNA from 1 species
UACGGAGGGUGCAAGCGUUGUUCGGAAUUACUGGGCGUAAAGCGCGUGUAGGCGGGUAUGCAGGUCAGAUGUGAAAGCCCUCGGCUCAACCGAGGAAGUGCAUCUGAAACCGCAUAUCUUGAGUACGAGAGAGGCAGAUGGAAUUCCCAGUGUAGAGGUGAAAUUCAUAGAUAUUGGGAAGAACACCGGCGGCGAAAGCGGUCUGCUGGCUCGAUACUGACGCUGAGACGCGAAAGCGUGGGGAGCAAACAGGAUUAGAUACCCUGGUAGUCCACGCCGUAAACGAUGUGCACUAGGUGUUGGAGGUAAUUAAACCUUCAGUGCCGCAGCUAACGCAUUAAGUGCACCGCCUGGGGAUUACGGCCGCAAGGCUAAA